GGGCUGUUGGUUUAGUGGUUAUAACGCCACGCUUACACCGUGGAAGUCCCCGGUUCAAUCCCGGGACGGCCCACCA
rnacentral:tRNA from 1 species